GUUUGAUCAUGGCUCAGAUUGAACGCUGGCGGCAGGCUUAACACAUGCAAGUCGAGCGGUAACAGGGGGUGCUUGCACCCCGCUGACGAGCGGCGGACGGGUGAGUAAUGCAUAGGAAACUGCCCAGUAGUGGGGGAUAGCCCGGGGAAACCCGGAUUAAUACCGCGUACGCCCUUCGGGGGAAAGCAGGGGAUCUUCGGACCUUGCGCUAUUGGAUGUGCCUAUGUCGGAUUAGCUAGUUGGUGGGGUAAAGGCCUACCAAGGCGACGAUCCGUAGCUGGUCUGAGAGGAUGAUCAGCCACAUCGGGACUGAGACACGGCCCGAACUCCUACGGGAGGCAGCAGUGG
rnacentral:rRNA from 2 species